rnacentral:ncRNA from 1 species
UGAUUUCAACCACUAACUUCCUCACUAUUAUAAAGACAUCAGUUUACAUGUUUAUUUUUUUACUUUUACUUAAUUAUAUUUAAAAUUUACUAUGGUGGCUAGGUGAUUUCCACCUCUAAAUAAUUAACUUUUGAUUUUCUAGUUCUAAGUAAUUAACUUUUCAUUUUCUAGGCCAAUAAAAAAAAUUAGGGCGUUCAGCAGCCACAAUUUUCUUUUCUGAGCCCGCCGAAACCUUUCGGCGUUCACCAGCCGCAAAAGUUUGCAGUUGUGCUAGUAUAUAUAAUUAACAUAUGUGUGUGUGUGUGUGUGUGUGUGUUAAUUAACCUUGUCAAAACUAGUACAGAUAAGGGGAAUCUAACUGUUUAAUUAAAACAAAGCAUUGCAAUGGUCCCUGUGAAUGCUGACACAAUGUGAUUUAUGACCAUCGCUCUGCAUGUCAAAGUGAAGAAAUUAAACCAAGCACGGGUAAAGGAUGUGAGUAACUUUGACUCUCUUAAGGUAGCCAAAUGCCUCAUCAUCUAAUUAGUGACGUGCAUGAAUGGAUUAGUGAUCUUCCCAUUGUCCCUAGCUAAUAUUUAGAGAAACCACAUCCAAGGGAACAUGCUUGG